rnacentral:rRNA from 1 species
GACGAACGCUGGCGGCGUGCCUAAUACAUGCAAGUAGAACGCUGAAGGAGGAGCUUGCUUCUCUGGAUGAGUUGCGAACGGGUGAGUAACGCGUAGGUAACCUGCCUGGUAGCGGGGGAUAACUAUUGGAAACGAUAGCUAAUACCGCAUAAGAGUAGAUGUUGCAUGACAUUUGCUUAAAAGGUGCAAAUGCAUCACUACCAGAUGGACCUGCGUUGUAUUAGCUAGUUGGUGGGGUAACGGCUCACCAAGGCGACGAUACAUAGCCGACCUGAGAGGGUGAUCGGCCACACUGGGACUGAGACACGGCCCAGACUCCUACGGGAGGCAGCAGUAGGGAAUCUUCGGCAAUGGACGGAAGUCUGACCGAGCAACGCCGCGUGAGUGAAGAAGGUUUUCGGAUCGUAAAGCUCUGUUGUAAGAGAAGAACGAGUGUGAGAGUGGAAAGUUCACACUGUGACGGUAUCUUACCAGAAAGGGACGGCUAACUACGUGCCAGCAGCCGCGGUAAUACGUAGGUCCCGAGCGUUGUCCGGAUUUAUUGGGCGUAAAGCGAGCGCAGGCGGUUAGAUAAGUCUGAAGUUAAGGGCUGUGGCUUAACCAUAGUACGCUUUGGAAACUGUUUAACUUGAGUGCAAGAGGGGAGAGUGGAAUUCCAUGUGUGGCGGUGAAAUGCGUAGAUAUAUGGAG